CCCUUUGGGGUGUGACUGCGUACCUUUUGUAUAAUGGGUCAGCGACUUAUAUUCUGUAGCAAGGUUAACCGUAUAGGGGAGCCGGAGGGAAACCGAGUCUUAAUUGGGCGUUAAGUUGCAGGGUAUAGACCCGAAACCCGGUGAUCUAGCCAUGGGCAGGUUGAAGGUUGGGUAACACUAACUGGAGGACCGAACCGACUAAUGUUGAAAAAUUAGCGGAUGACCUGUGGCUGGGGGUGAAAGGCCAAUCAAACCGGGAGAUAGCUGGUUCUCCCCGAAAGCUAUUUAGGUAGCGCCUCGUGAAUUCAUCUCCGGGGGUAGAGCACUGUUUCGGCUAGGGGGCCAUCCCGGCUUACCAACCCGAUGCAAACUGCGAAUACCGGAGAAUGUUAUCACGGGAGACACACGGCGGGUGCUAACGUCCGUCGUGAAGAGGGAAACAACCCAGACCGCCAGCUAAGGUCCCAAAGUCAUGGUUAAGUGGGAAACGAUGUGGGAAGGCCCAGACAGCCAGGAUGUUGGCUUAGAAGCAGCCAUCAUUUAAAGAAAGCGUAAUAGCUCACUGGUCGAGUCGGCCUGCGCGGAAGAUGUAACGGGGCUAAACCAUGCACCGAAGCUGCGGCAGCGACGCUGAUGCGUUGUUGGGUAGGGGAGCGUUCUGUAAGCCUG
rnacentral:rRNA from 1 species